rnacentral:rRNA from 1 species
UACGAAGGGGGCUAGCGUUGCUCGGAAUUACUGGGCGUAAAGGGCGCGUAGGCAGAUAGUUUAGUCAGAGGUGAAAGCCCAGGGCUCAACCUUGGAAUUGCCUUUGAUACUGGCUAUCUUGAGUUCGGGAGAGGUGAGUGGAAUGCCGAGUGUAGAGGUGAAAUUCGUAGAUAUUCGGCGGAACACCAGUGGCGAAGGCGACUCACUGGCCCGAUACUGACGCUGAGGCGCGAAAGCGUGGGGAGCAAACAGG